GUCACAAGCACCUAUCACAAGCCAAGGGAUUAUUUUUGCUCUCUUGCUCUGAACAGAUGACAAGUAUGUAGAUGAGAGGAGUAGAUGCAGGAAACUAGAGCACCGCGUUGUCCAGAGGGAAGCAGCUGCUGCACUCUCCCCCUCAUAAAUAUAAGCAGAUCCAGACAGAAAAGCUCACAGAGUCAUUACAGAACCAAGAGAACAUGUUGAAGGAGGGAAAUCCUUCUGACUCAUAGUGGUGAUAGGAUAUGCCAAAAGGAAACCUCAGCCAUUUUUCUUCCUGAAGCAAAGGACAAGAUGCUGCACCAAACUUGAUGUACAAAAGCAAAGUGGAAUGCAUCUCACUACAGCCCUGGUGAUGUGACAGUGACUUCCACACCCCUUCAGAGAAAUGGGCAAGAUUAGGAGGUUCGUGGCAUGCUUUAGGAAAGAUGCUGCUCUAUAUUCCAAUAGAAUAUCAUGGUCCCCAGAGUUCAGGGUAAAGUUCACCACCAUUGUUGCCCCCAACAUUUGCUUCCAGAUGCAAUAGCCUCAUUGUGUUUAUGACACCAUCCUAAAUACUUUUGGGAAAAUAAAAUAUAAUCAAUUCUG